CAGUAUAAAAGCAAAGGAUUUAAUCUCUGCAUCCCAGAAGCUGGAGCUGGUAGAGAAGAAUACAUUGUGAUGUGACAUCUGUCAGACAGAAAGGGUGACUGGAACAUGGUGACAUUAUGGGAAGCCUUCCACUGGUGCCAUCUCUUGCCGGCAGAUAAAAUGGCUACUCCAGAGCACAGUCCAGGAAGAAGAGGUCUCACUGUGUGUGUUCAGGGGAAUGUGAUGAACUGGGAAGAGGAAGACCAUCAUUGCAUAACUUCCACUGAUGGAGUCUGCACAG